UUAGAGUUUGAUCCUGGCUCAGGAUGAACGCUAGCUACAGGCUUAACACAUGCAAGUCGAGCGGUAUGUGCUUUAGUGCAUACAGCGGCAGACGGGUGAGUAACACGUAUCUAACCUUCCCCUUACUUGGGCAUAGCCUCUGGAAACGGAGAUUAAUUUCCGAUGUGGUGUACAUUUCGCAUGUUUUGCGCACCAAAGAUUUAUCGGUAAGGGAUGGGGAUGCGCUCCAUUAGGUUGUAGGUAGGGUAAUGGCCUACCUAGCCUAUGAUGGAUAGGGGUUCUGAGAGGAAGGUCCCCCACAUUGGAACUGCGACACGGUCCAAACUCCUACGGGAGGCAGCAGUGAGGAAUAUUGGUCAAUGGACGCAAGUCUGAACCAGCCAUGUCGCGUGCAGGAUGACUGCCCUAUGGGUUGUAAACUGCUUUUAUAUUGGAAGAAUUGCGCUUACGAGUUAAGCGUUUGACGGUACAUUAUGAAUAAGGAUCGGCUAACUCCGUGCCAGCAGCCGCGGUAAUACGGAGGAUCCGAGCGUUAUCCGGAUUUAUUGGGUUUAAAGGGUGCGUAGGCGGAAAUGUAAGUCAGUGGUGAAAUCCUGCAGCUUAACUGUAGAAUAGCCGUUGAAACUGUGUUUCUUGAGUACAUUUGAGGUAGGCGGAAUGUGGUGUGUAGCGGUGAAAUGCAUAGAUAUACCACAGAACACCGAUUGCGAAGGCAGCUUACUAAACUGUCACUGACGCUGAUGCACGAAAGCGUGGGUAUCAAACAGGAUUAGAUACCCUGGUAGUCCACACUGUAAACGAUGAUAACUCGCUGUCGGCGAUACACAGUCGGUGGCCAAGCGAAAGCAUUAAGUUAUCCACCUGGGGAGUACGACCGCAAGGUUGAAACUCAAAGGAAUUGACGGGGGCCCGCACAAGCGGAGGAACAUGUGGUUUAAUUCGAUGAUACGCGAGGAACCUUACCCGGGCUCGAACGGUGCAUGAAUAUACGAGAGAUUGUAUAGUCCUUCGGGACAUGUAUCGAGGUGCUGCAUGGUUGUCGUCAGCUCGUGCCGUGAGGUGUCGGCUUAAGUGCCAUAACGAGCGCAACCCUUGUCAUUAGUUGCCAUCAGGUCAAGCUGGGGACUUUAAUGAGACUGCCACCGUAAGGUGUGAGGAAGGGGGGGAGGACGUCAAAUCAGCACGGCCCUUAUGUCCGGGGGGACACACGUGUUACAAUGGGAGGUACAGAGGGCAGCUAUCCGGUGACGGAAUGAUAAUCUCCAAAACCUUUCUCAGUUCGGAUUGGAGUCUGCAACUCGACUCCACGAAGGUGGAUUCGCUAGUAAUCGCGCAUCAGCCAUGGCGCG
rnacentral:rRNA from 1 species